AUUUUCCGGUUGAUCCUGCCGGACCCGACUGCUAUCAGAGUGGGAUUAAGCCAUGCGAGUUAACGUAGCAAUACGUGGCAUACGGCUCAGUAACACGUAGUCAACAUGCCCAGGGGACGUGGAUAACCUCGGGAAACUGAGGCUAAACCGCGACAGGCCAAGAUUUCUGGAAUGGAUCAUGGCUUAAAUCUAUAUGGCCCCUGGAUUGGACUGCGGCCGAUCAGGCUGUUGGUGAGGUAAUGGCCCACCAAACCUGUAACCGGUACGGGCUCUGAGAGGAGGAGCCCGGAGAUGGGCACUUAGACAAGGGCCCAGGCCCUAUGGGGCGCAGCAGGCGCGAAACCUCUGCAAUAAGCGAAAGCUUGACAGGGUUACUCUGAGUGAUUUCCGCUAAGGAAGUCUUUUGGCACCUCUAAAAAUGGUGCAGAAUAAGGGGUGGGCAAGUCUGGUGUCAGCCGCCGCGGUAAUACCAGCACCCCGAGUGGUCGGGACGAUUAUUGGGCCUAAAGCAUCCGUAGCCGGUCCUGCAAGUCCUCCGUUAAAUCCACCCGCUCAACGGUUGGGCCGCGGGGGAUACUACAGGGCUAGGAGGCGGGAGAGGCAAGCGGUACUCGAUGGGUAGGGGUAAAAUCCACUGAUCCAUUGAAGACCACCAGUGGCGAAGGCGGCUUGCCAGAACGCGCUCGACGGUGAGGGAUGAAAGCUGGGGGAGCAAACCGGAUUAGAUACCCGGGUAGUCCCAGCUGUAAACGAUGCAGACUCGGUGAUGGGCUGGCUUCGUGCCAACCCGGUGUCGCAGGGAAGCCGUUAAGUCUACCGCCUGGGGAGUACGGUCGCAAGACUGAAACUUAAAGGAAUUGGCGGGAAU
rnacentral:rRNA from 1 species